rnacentral:rRNA from 1 species
AUGAGACUUCCUAAAUCCAUGGGGGGUAUGGGAUUUAGGGAUAUGAGAGCGUUCAACCAAGCGUUGUUGGCCAAGCAAGCUUGGAGACUUCUUGAUUCCCCUGACAGCCUAUGUGCGAGAUUGUUGAAGACAAAGUAUUACCCUCAUGGUCAGUUGUUAGACACAGUGUUUCCAAACACUGGUUCUGCGGUGUGGAAAGGUAUAUUGCAUGGGUUGGAGUUGUUGAAAAGAGGAGUUAUAUGGCGGGUGGGGGACGGGGAGCACAUCCGGACGUGGCGAGACCCCUGGAUCCCACGGCCAUCCUCCUUCCGUCUGAUCACCCCGAAGGGAACCUGCCGUCUAAAUCAUGUUUUAGAUUCUCUGGACGCCAAUGGGGCAUGGAGGGCUGAUUGUCUUCGUGAAUAUUUUUGGGAGAUGGAUGUUCUACAUAUUCUCAAGAUACACACCUCUCUAAGGCAGCGUUCCGACUUCCUGUCAUGGUUUCCAGAGAAGAGUGGAGUAUUUUCAGUUAAGAGUGCAUACAAAUUAGUCACAUGCGAUCAUGAUACAGUUUUUUCUGAAGGGGCAUCAAGUGCGGCGGCAAAUGGUUCCCGCUCUCUUUGAAAUUGUGUGUGGCAAUCUUUGGUUCCGCAGAAGAUGAAGAUAACUGCGUGGAAAGUUGUUUCUAGAGUACUACCGACGCGACAUAUAUCCACAAGCUCAACUUGCCGACUAUGUGGUCUGGAGGAGGAAGGCACAUAUCACGCCCUGAUCGCAUGCGACCAUGCGAGAGAAAUUUGGCUACAUAUGCGUGCAAGAUGGCCCCUUCCACCUGAUGAUCUCCUAGUUGAUAAUGGAAGGGAAUGGCUUAUGCACCUUUUAUACAUAUGUUCCGAUGAUGUACGUGACAUGCACUGGUGGAAAAAGGGCCUUUGGUCGCGGUUCGCAACUGCCAUUAGUCGCGGUUGCGCAACCGCGACCGAACGGGCGCGACUAAAGGCCCCCCCUUUAGUCGCGGUUGCUUAA